UAUAAAUAUUCAAGGAUUGAUAUUGAAGUAAAGACAAAGAAAUAUUGAGAGAAAAGAUAUUCAAGGAUAUGAUAAAGAGCAUAUUUAUUGACCAAAAUGGCAUAUCUUUCUUAGUCUUCCUUCCCCCAAUGGAAUGAGCACAACAAGCUACUAAUACCACCAUUAAAAGGAAAAAAAAAACUAAAAGAAGACGUGCCAAUGUACAAAUUACAUCAUAAUUUACGUUGUAUCUCUAACAAAUCUCAUAAAUCCGACAAGGUUGGGAGGAGGUUGUGUUGGCGGUGGUGGAAUUGAAGCUUGUUCAUCACCACUUCCGGGUGAAGCCGAUUCCUCAGAAAGUUCUGCUAUCAUUUCUUCAUAUGCCUCAUCUAUUGCCGGUUGUGAUUCUGCUAUGCCAAAGUUUCUUCUUUCCGCGUGAAUCCAAUCUCUAAAAAGCACUGAUAUUUCCAAGCUCUCCCCCAUCGACGCUCUGUGAUCACCGAUUUG
rnacentral:lncRNA from 1 species